CCUACGGGAGGCAGCAGUGGGGAAUAUUGCGCAAUGGGGGAAACCCUGACGCAGCAACGCCGCGUGGGUGAAGAAGGUCUUCGGAUUGUAAAGCCCUGUCUUCUGGGACGAUAAUGACGGUACCAGAGGAGGAAGCCACGGCUAACUACGUGCCAGCAGCCGCGGUAAU
rnacentral:rRNA from 1 species